rnacentral:rRNA from 1 species
CCUACGGGAGGCAGCAGUGAGGAAUAUUGGUCAAUGGACGCAAGUCUGAACCAGCCAAGUAGCGUGCAGGAUGACGGCCCUCCGGGUUGUAAACUGCUUUUAGUUGGGAAUAAAAGGGGGCUCGUGAGCCCCGUAUUGUAUGUACCAUCAGAAAAAGGACCGGCUAAUUCCGUGCCAGCAGCCGCGGUAAUACGGAAGGUCCGGGCGUUAUCCGGAUUUAUUGGGUUUAAAGGGAGCGUAGGCCGGCUUUUAAGUCAGCUGUGAAAGUCCGCGGCUCAACCGUGGAAUUGCAGUUGAAACUGGCUGUCUUGAGAUGUCGAGAGGUAUGCGGAAUGCGCAGUGUAGCGGUGAAAUGCUUAGAUAUUGCGCAGAACUCCGAUUGCGAAGGCAGCAUACCGGCGGCGAUCUGACGCUGAGGCACGAAAGCGUGGGUAUCGAACAGGAUUAGAUACCCCUGUAGUC